rnacentral:rRNA from 1 species
GGGAAACUGGGUCUAAUACCUGAUAUGACUCCUCAUCGCAUGGUGGGGGGUGGAAAGCUUUUUGUGGUUUUGGAUGGACUCGAGGCCUAUCAGCUUGUUGGUGAGGUAAUGGCUUACCAAGGCGACGACGGGUAGCCGGCCUGAGAGGGUGACCGGCCACACUGGGACUGAGACACGGGCCAGACUCCUACGGGAGGCAGCAGUGGGGACCAUUCCACAAUGCGCGCAAGCCGGAUGCAGCGACGCCGCGUGAGGGAUGACAGGCCUUCGGGUUGUAAACCUCUUUCAGUAGGGAAGAAGCGAAAGUGACGGUACCUGCAGAAGAAGCGCCGGCUAACUACGUGCCAGCAGCCGCGGUAAUACGUAGGGCGCAAGCGUUAUCCGGAAUUAUUGGGCGUAAAGAGCUCGUAGGCGGUUUGUCGCGUCUGCCGUGAAAGUCCGGGGCUCAACUCCGGAUCUGCGGUGGGUACGGGCAGACUAGAGUGAUGUAGGGGAGACUGGAAUUCCUGGUGUAGCGGUGAAAUGCGCAGAUAUCAGGAGGAACACCGAUGGCGAAGGCAGGUCUCUGGGCAUUAACUGACGCUGAGGAGCGAAAGCAUGGGGAGCGAACAGGAUUAGAUACCCUGGUAGUCCAUGCCGUAAACGUUGGGCACUAGGUGUGGGGGACAUUCCACGUUUUCCGCGCCGUAGCUAACGCAUUAAGUGCCCCGCCUGGGGAGUACGGCCGCAAGGCUAAAACUCAAAGGAAUUGACGGGGGCCCGCACAAGCGGCGGAGCAUGCGGAUUAAUUCGAUGCAACGCGAAGAACCUUACCAAGGCUUGACAUGAACCGGUAACGCCUGGAGACAGGUGCCCCGCUUGCGGUCGGUUUACAGGUGGUGCAUGGUUGUCGUCAGCUCGUGUCGUGAGAUGUUGGGUUAAGUCCCGCAACGAGCGCAACCCUCGUUCUAUGUUGCCAGCACGUGAUGGUGGG